UAAAAAGAAAAUGCUGAUAUGUUUAUCCUAAUAACUAAUAGUAACACAAAGCUUUGUCUUUAAUGUGUCAUUUUUUUAGCCUUUAUAUGAAACAAAAAAUAUAUUAAUACAUUUAUCAAUAUGCAGCUCUUGGUGGAAAAUGUUUAGACAUAACUGUAAUAUAUCAAUGAGAUAAUUGUAUGGAAACAACACAGCAUUUGAAUAUGAAUAGCUAAUAUAAUAAUUACUAGUAUGUUAUAACUCACCUAUUUAAGGAAAACCACAGUGCCUGAUAUCAUUUUAACCUGAAUUCAUCCAUUUCUUAUUAUAUAAUAAAGUAUUAUCUAGCAUGUGCUCUGUUUUUACUUAGUUAUACAUGUUUUCCUGUCAAUUUUUACUCUUGUAUUUGUUCUUUUCAUUACUGAAUAACAUCUAUUAACUCUACUAUACUCUUUUUCAGGCAUGUUGAAUUGUCCAGCUGCGAUUGUGACAUUACUGACUGUAACCUUAACUAUUCCCUCAUAUGUUGCAUGCCUAGGGUGCAUUUAUAGCAUAGCUGCAGCCAUCCAACCAGUAAAAUGGAUGACAUUUGGGUUUAUUGUAGCACACAUUCAUUUACUCUUACUCAUGGAUCAUUGUUGGACUCUUUUUGCAGUGUGCAGGAUGAGCACUUUUCAGCGCUGACAGCAGGCUGACGAUAAAUCCUCCCUGGUAGAUGCAUGGAGAGAUGCACGGACGUAAAUUGAAAAAACCUGUAUUGUGCAACUGGAGAAAUUGUGCAAAGUUUGUUGUGGACUUCCUUUCCAGGCUCCGCCCAUGGAUGACCAAAGAGCCUGUCCUGCUCUACUGAUCCAUCACACCACAACUGCCAGCAAUCACCUCAGCGUCACGCCUCCCAUCCUACCUGGCGCCGUAGUGCGACAAGUACAAAGAGAAAGAAGCAGAAGGAAGUGGAAGAUUUGUUGUGACUAUGUUCCUGCAGGCUGCCUUGCUGAUGUUCCACUCCUGUUUGGGUCUCUGUGGAGCCGCUGCUCAACACAUGGAGCUGGAAAGGAUAAAGACGUGUGGCAUCAAGUGUUCUCAGGACCUUCAGUGCAACACCAAGCCAGCAUAUUUUUUUGCUGAUUCAUGUCAGAUGCCCGCUGACGGACUUACCGUCUCCUCCGUGUUUCGCAACCUCAGCUUUUCCACAGUCAUGACAUGUGAAGGGCAUCAAAGGUGCUCGCUGCACCUCGGAAUCCACACGACGGUGCAACUUCCAGAGUCCAUCCACGGUUUGUCCGUUUGCUCUCAGACACCAGGAAUGCUGCGGAAGUGCCGAAUAGUCAGGAUGUCAAAGGCUUCCAGGCGGAUGACGUCCGGGAUGCAGGUGGAGCUUGAGGACAACUGCACUGACGUUUAUCCGCAGCAGCAAGUGAAAGUCACACUGACGACAGUGCCCAGCUACUGCGGAAUAACUCAAAGCGGAAACUACGUUGCUCCAGAUUGCUCAUGGAAGGAUUUGAGGAGACUUGUCCCUGAAUGCAUCACUGGGAGUUUAUCCUAUGACAUCAACGCAGAGAGAAAAGAGCUGCGCGUCACCGUGAGCGACAUGCUGGAUGAUGAAGACUAUCAGUUGCGACUGUGCCAUAAGGAUUUCAUCUGCGCUGGCACAGGGGCUAACGCAUUGAUCAUGAAGGAGGAAGUCAACAAGAGCGCCAUCCUCCCGUAUUUCAGACCGCUGCCGUGCCUCUGCAUCGAGGUAAAGCCAUCUGGAACACAGUUUCCACACAGGGAGUCGCCACUAAAAGGCUCGUUGAUACCCGCAGGGCUGGUCUGUGGUGACGGAUGCUCCCAGAGUGCAGGUCUGGAGGAGAUGUGGCAUGGGAUUCAUUUCGACACAUCGGCAGGGGUGCUUUCAUGGGAACCCGCCUGCCCGGUGACGGCCACCGUGGCACUGUGCCAGAGAGGAGGAGAGGAUGGUGUCUGCACGGACCUGCAGCAAGCCUCCCAAAAUGUCAGCAGAGGAAAGAUCACAUUUGCGCAAGUGGACCCUCACCCUCAGCUGUGCAUGAAGUUCCGUGCAGGCCAUCAGUCGUGGAUCAGGUGUCCUUUUGUCGGAAGAUUCCAAGCAUGGGAUGUGACUGUGAUGAGACAUGCGGAUCACAAAGAGGCAAAGCUGACGUCGCACAUGAACGCCACUUUCUCCGUGCACGCGUGUGCGCCGUCUGAAGGCCCUGCUGUGUGUCGCGCUACGGGGACACACGCUGUAAUUUACGUGGGGGCGCACGCGUCUGUUGGCUUGAACGUGACAGACACUCACUCGUGUUUUUACGUGAGGAGAACGGAUGUGACGUAUGCUCCCACAAUCCUUCACUGUUUGACAGAGGAACGCAGUGAGCCAGCGGCUCUUUUCGCCACUCCGGCCAAUCAGAUGUUGAUCGCGGUCAUCGUCCCGGUCGGCCUUUGGCUUACUGCUGUCAUCAUUGUCACCCUGGUGUUGCAUGUCAGACUCACUGACAGCGCUCCUGUUUGUGACGUCUCGCAACACAGAGACCGCCGUUCUGCGCUCUGACUGACCUUUCCCCUUUGGAAAUUGAUUUUAGAACAUCAGAGACCAAGAACAGACAUUUCAUCUUGAAAGGGGGGAAAAGGAGUGCUGCAGCCAUGAGUCCAGCGGGGGGCGCUGUCUCACAAGUCGAUUCACUCAACAUUUUCCAGCUGGAAGACGCCUUGAUGAGACGUGAUGCUGUGAAGAAGCGCAUCGACGGCCGCUCAACUCUCAGCCUGCCAGCCGCACGGCGGGUGUCGUCUGCUGUAAUAGGCUUGAGCCACACGUGUGUCGUAAACGUCCAUGUGCAACUGGGGUGGGGGGGUGGGGUGUGUAGUGUGUGUGUGUAGGGGGGCACACGCAGAUGCAAAGUGUGCACGCAAUCAUGCCCACGACUCCCAGGCUUCAGCUUUUGUGAAAACACGCGCAUGCAAUCACACUUGUACGCACGCAGCGACAUAGAACACGCACACGCUCACAAUGGGGGCCGUCCGGUUGUAAUACGCCCCAGUCACGCUACGCUGUGGCUACCGCAAUGUUGAGCUUAUCGCUGGCUCAUAUGGAUGGAUCAUGGUCUUAACUGACCGGACUUAAGAGUUAGACAUGGAAAAUUAAGAUGACCUUAUAUGGGCAUCCAGCUCAGCUCGUGCCACUGAGCUAAUGGGCAGCGCCAUCGGGCAGAGUCACUUGGUCAUGCAAGUCUUGGCUUUCACUUGUACGCAAUUUCUUCUGCUUAUUCGCUUCCAUUUGCAGCAUAAUCCACAUAAAUCCUCCCAAAUGAGGCUCAUUUAUUAUCGCUACAUGCUAUCUGAUGCCACAACCUAUCACUGCAACAAUAUUUAGACUAAAAUAGUUUGUUGAUUCACUUUCAGUGGAUGGUACAUCUAUACUGCUAAAAUAUACCUAUGCAUGUUGGAUUGCAUUUCCCUGCAACCUUUUUGUGCAGCAGCCCUUUUUAUGCAAUUAGAUGCAACAAAGGCAUGGAAGAAGGGUUUUGGCUGAAGGGGAUGAAAAAGAUGGAUGGAUAGAUGGGGAAAAGCAUGUGGGGGAGGAGUGCGGGCGUGACAACACCACCAGUGAAAUGUCACCAUUGCCAUGCUGUGACCCAACAGGGGGAUCAUUUCUAUACUUUAUUGCACCUUCAGGGGCUACGGUGUCUCUUCACUCGACAACAUACAGUUACUUUGGAGUGCAAUAAUUAGCCCCGUGGGGUCAAUUUCUGUCCCUCAUGGUGGAAUUUUUAAACGCCACAAGACUACAGCAUGAGAACUCCAGCAUUUCCUGAAUGAUUCCAUGCAACUAAUUCCUUGAACGCUAUUUCAUACUCGAUAUCACAUGUUGGCGAGUACAGUACGUACAUGUUGUCCCUGCGGGAGCGCUCGUGAUACUUGUGAGUACCCUUGGAAAGGGUUUGGGGCCUUGACAGUCUGAGGUUGAAGACGUAUCGUCUAAAAUGUAUUGUUAAAUGAAACAGUCAGUCAACUAUAUCCGUCCUGCCCGAUUUCCAGUUCAACCAAUCAGAAUCUUGAAGAAAGUUUCUGGAAAAGACACGGUAACAAAAAUGGUGACUUGAAAAAAAAAAAGAUUUAUUUUUAUGAUAGAAGCAAAUAAAUAUAUUGUCGCUGUCUGAUAAAAGUCCUGUAUCUCCAGUUUAUGAUGAUUUUGUUGCAGUUUCUCAUGCAUGUCCAACAGUUGGGUGAAAACCCUGCAUCCCAACUUCAUGAUCAUUUUGCUAUUUUUUUCUCCACGUUUUCUUUAAUUGCUCUUUUUUUUACAUGCAUUAUCAAAAUUGAGCCAUACUGUGACAUCACACAAGGGUAAUAUCACAGUAUUACAACACCGAAAUGACAAAUGGCACAAGAUGAAAUAGAUUUUUAUGUUUGCUUCUUGUGCUAAAGCUGUGUAAUAUAGUACAUUUGUGGUGUGUCUGGUCAAAAGGCAUUUGUGGUGUGACUUUCUAAAAAGCAUUUAAAAACUAAAUACAAUAUUACUGUCUGUGGCUCCUUACAUCCUGGGAUAACGCUUCAUGAAAUCGUUGCAGAACGUGACGGAAAUAUUACCGUUUUGGCCCAUCAAGUUAAAGUUUCACAAGAUAAAAUUUUGUCUGUGUUUCUUAUGCUCUAUCUGGCUAAUAAUAAGCAUUUGUGGUGUAAAUACAAAUAAGAAAAGUGACAUACACAGCCAAAAUCCAAUCAUACAAGGGUAAUGAGCUCUAAAAUGUCAGUUUUCCCUAACCUAAGAUGCCAAAUUGCAUAGGAUCAUACACAAUUUUCAGUGUGAAAUGUGAAAUAUACACAUAAAAUAAAUGCAAUACUGAGAUGUGCCAUUGUCUGUGUGUGUCUGGCACUUUUCUUGGCAUUGAUAUGACAUGUCUGCCUGCAUGCUACGUCUGUUUUAGUGUGUGUGGGAUGCACGAGGGACAUGGCGUUGACACUGCAGCAGUGUUGUCUGUCUCACAAGCUCCUCGUCUUCCCAUUGCAUGCAUACGCACUGUCUGCUACAAAUCUGCUUCCUUCUCCUCAAAUGAUCUCUCUCUACGAAUGCACUCUCUCACUCUCUUUCGCUCUAAAGUGCGUGUGUACAUUUUGUUCUGCAUGCUCCAGACACAAAGACUUUUUCUUGCUGAACUUAGAUUUACUUAUGUGUCCCUUGCCUGAUCCUCAUCCAAGUGCCUCAAUCCCCUUCCAGCGUCUUUAUGAUACCUCCCACGUCCGAGUAACCCCAUGUGGUGGUUUUGUGUGUAUGUGCUACUUUUAUUUUCAUAUUGUGUCUUCUGGAGGUGCAUGGAAGCACCAGACAGCGCCAGCGUGGCUGUCGGGAACACAGAGUUCAGACGACAGCCCCCUCCCUCGCCCGUAUCCUCGCAUCCUCUCACCUCCUUUCCUCACUCUCCACUCCUUUUUCUCACGUUGGAGCCCGAUGAAUAAUUCAAUCUGUGUUGCACUGCAGGUUUUCCCCUUCUCCGCCUCUUUUUCCUAGGCUACAUUUUAUCGUCCUAUGAAAUCCAUCUGGUGAUGCUUUUAUUUGUUUGUCCGAAAAGGAGAAAGGAGAAGCCGAGCUUAUUUGAUCCCGUUUCAUAGUUUGUGUGUCUGAGUCUCUCGCACUGCCCCUCCCUGUUUCGCAUCCGCAUCAUUUCACCCUUCCCCUGGCUCAUUUUUCCUGUAAAUCUCUGAUGACGAUGAUGAGGUGAUAGAAGGAGGGGAACGAGUGAGUCAGCCAAGACCGGUCAGUCGGGAGCAACGUGAUGGCCGCUCCGUAUCCGGGAAACGGACACGUGGAGGUUUUCCAACAGUCACCUGCUCGUCUGAUGUGUGUGUUAUGAAACCCAGAAAGACAUCACCACGCUGUCGUGAGACGUUCCCGCUACUGAUUUAUUGGAUGGACGCGCACCUGAAGGGGAUUUAAUAGGGAUAAUAAAUUGCAUAUGUUUGAUUUAUAGCCAAAAAUAGCUGUGAAAUUCAGAUUCAUUCAGAAAGUCUUCACUUUUCCACAUUUGAUUGUGGACCCCUAAAAAGGCUCAAAAAGCAGACAUUCAGGGGUGCAGGGAGGUAUUUACAUGAGGCUACCCUCCUGAUGUGGCCGUUGCCAUGGCGACCAGGCCCAUGUCUGAGCAUCCCCAUUCUGGAAGCAAGGGAGCGGCUCAGGGCGAUGGGGGAGUGUUUAGUAUGAGCCAAUCACAGGCCACCACACACUUACAGACAGUCACACUGACGGGCUCUUUUAGCUGGGAACUUGAUUUAAACAUACACGCGAACGUAGCAGAUUUGCUUGGAUCAUAAUACACACACGCACACACGAGACAUUUUUAUGCAGCAUAUUUUGGCUAAAGUGAGUCAUGCGGUGCUAAGGUAAAUAAUGCAAAAAUAAUUUUAACGAUUAUUUUUUAUUCCGUUAUAUUAUAAUGUAAAAAUAAAUAUUUGAAUAAUAAUGACUUCUAACAUUACUUCUGAGGAAAGUACAAUGAAAAAAUACAUGACAAUAUCUUGCAAUCUACUAAUUUAAUUUCUACUACUUUACACCCUUCUGCACUCUGUGUGUAUGCUACCGGCCCCGCCUCCGCCCACUGAGAGAAAGAGACUGUAUGACACAAAGGCUCACUCCGUUCAUGCAGUUGUUCGGUGGAACAAACGCGCCAAGGUGCUGAAACCAACGUGCAGAGUGAACCCUCUUCCUUCCUGUUUGGAGGCGAGAGACGAGGAAAACAGACAGCAUUGUAAUAUAUUAAGGUUGGCAAAAUGAUCCAGUUCAUUUUAAUUUAUUGCGUUAUUUUUAAAUUAAUUUAUUAUUGUCCCAGGCUUAGUGCCCACCAGACUUGAGACUUUUCUGAACGAGAAAUCUUUUCGAUAGUUUUAAUCUUCUGAGAUCUUGUGACACAAUAACAUAAUAUAUAUUAAAAAGUAAGACAAAUAUUACUAUUCAUAUGAUUUAAAUCAAUAAAUAAAUACAAUUUGUUGGUAAAUAAACACUACUAAUGAGAAAAAUAACACUCAAAUAUUUUGUGACAAUGCAGUUUAUGUAUUUUUGGAAUGCAUUUGGCUAUUUUGUAAGUGUAGUGAAACAAAACACAGCAUAUAUCUAAAAGGUCAUUUAUGGUUUAGCUUUUUCCUUUGCUGUCCAUAAAGAAAUGAGCUCUGCACAAUUAAAAAUACUCCUGCUCCUACCAGCACUGCUCGUGUACAAAUGGGAUGCAACGCCACCGAUGCAUCGCUGUUGUGUCUUUGUGUCCACAAAAGUAACAUCAGAGCUAUUUCUGUCAUCAACAGAAAUAAACAUUUGGGCUGUCAUUUCCUUUGGAUUCAUGCAAAUUCCCUAAAAAAAGAUGUCUUCUCUGAACUCUUUGCUAUUUAUAGCUUAAAAAGCCUUUCUCCCACUCCCAAACUUGAUUGUCUGUGUGAUGCAUUUAGUCUGCAAAGUGAAGUUACCUUGUCUUUCUUACGCUGUGAGGAUGCUAAUAUUGCUAACAUUGCUUUGCUUCUAUGGUGUCGCUCCAACUUUUAAGGUAGGGAUAUUCACCUGCAGGCCUGCGGGCCAGAUGUGGACAUCAAACACACAUUCCUGUCAUGCGGAGGAUUUUUUACUCGUGUUUUUCUGCAGCACAUCCAUAAAAACAGCAAAGUUCUCCUGUUAUUGAAGGAUCUGUGAGAAGUGUUUUGCAGUAGGUCCUUAAAAACAGCAGAGCACUCCUUUUAUAUAGAGGAUCUUUGAAAAACGUGCUCACAUCUUUAAAAGCAGCAGAGCAGCCCUGACAUGUGGAAAAUCUUUGACUAGCGUUUUUGCGGUAGGGUCUGAAAAACAGCAGGGUGCUCCUGUUGUUGUAUAAAGGAUCUUUGACUGGCGUUUCUGCAGCACGUUCUUAAUAACAGCAGAGCAAUCCUGUCGUGUAGAAAAUCAUUAACUGCUAUUUUUGCAGUUGAUUGGCAAAAUCAGCAGAGCACUCCUGUCAUACAGAGGAUCUUGGCAAGCGUUGUUACAGUAGGUUCUCAAAAACAGCAGAGGGCUCCUAUCACCUGGAGAAUCCUUGACAAGCUUUUGCAGUAUGUCCUUAAAAACAGCAGAGUGCUCCUGUCAUCUUGAGGAUCUUUCGGUCUUUUUUUUUUUUUGCAGUGGGCCCUUUGAAAACAGCAGAACUCUCCUGUCAUUGAAAAUCUUUGAGUGCCGUUUUUGCCAUAGGUUCCCAAAAACAGCAGAGCACUCCAGUUAUGGAGUAAAGGAUUUUUUAAUGAUGUUUUUCUGCAGCACAGUCUUAAAAACUGCAGAGCACUGCUGUUAUAUACAGGGCCUUUGACUAGCGUUUUCGCCAUAGGUUCUCAAAAACAGCAUAGCACUCCAGCUAUAGAGAAUCUUUGGCUAGUAUUUUUCUGCAGCACAUCCUUGAAAACAGCAGAGAACUCCAGUUAUAAAGAGGAUCUUUGAAUAGCGUUUCUCCUUGCAUCCUUAAAAACAGCAGAGUGCUUCUGUCACAUAGAGGAUCUUUGACUUUUGCAGUUGAUUCCCAAAAACAGCAGAGCACUCAUGUCAAGCAUUUUUGCAGUAGGUUCUCAAAAAUAGUAGAGCACCACUGUCAUGUAUAGGAUCUUUGACUAGUAUUUAGGCUCUAGGCUCGCGGGGGUGUGCCUAUCCCAGCUGACUUUGGGGAAGAGGUGGGGUCACCCUGGACUGGUCGCCAGGUCACAUAUAGAGAAUCAACCAUUCACACUGACAUUCAUACCUAUGGACAAUUUAGAGUCACCAAUGACCAAUAACCCGAAGUACCCGGAGAAAACCCAAGCACACACGGGGAGAACAUGCAACCUCCACGCAGAGAUGUCCAGCGGAGCUUCGUACCCACAUCUUGCAGCUCUCCUGACUGUGUGGCCAACAUGCUAACCACUAGGCCACCGUGUGGCCCCAUUUUUGCCAUAGGUUCUCCAAAACAGCAGAGCACUCCAGUUAUAGAGGAUCUUUGACGAGUGUAAACACAUUGCAUAUUACGACACUAUUUAUGACUGUAUCAUCCAUUUGGUGACGUCAGAACGUGACAGAGAAUGACAGAGCCUUGCACUGACAUUAUACACAACAUAAGGAUAAUUGUGAAGGGACAAGUCUGGCCCCACGGUCCUUAGCUUCCUGAAAAUAUGGCCCCCAUCACCAUUUAGUUGACCAGCACUGGCUGCACUGGCUUUUGUGUAACUUUUGUGUAACUUUAUGACAUAACAAUGAAGAAUUAGAAGGUAAAAUAAGAAAACGCGUGUCAGUGUGCUUCUGGGUGGCACCGGGGGCGCAGUUCACAAGUGUGGCCACCGGAGGCUCCCUACAGUCUCCGCAUCAGCCUUGAGGAGGGGCGCGGCUCUGCACCGACUCAGGUCAAUGAGUUCCUUGUAGGGAAGGGAAGAGUGCCAGUGAUGUACACACACACACACACACACACACACACAUACUGUCACUACAUUCAAUAGUCUUAUUAUUAGGCCUUGUAACAUUUUAGAGCCGUGUGUUUGUCCCUGACAUCAUACGCAUGCACACACACCCCUACAGUGCCAUGCAUGUUAUGCACAAUAUGUGCAUAGUAUUUUAUUGUGCAUGUUGGGCGGUAGUAUUGAUUUAAAAGGUUAGUGUGUAGCCUUGUGGGACAGCGAGGCUUGAGUUACAUGUAUAAAGUGCAGGCCUGAGAGAUCCAGGAGCUGCAAGCUAAGCUGAGCUGGCCAGUACCGCACAUGGAGUGGGGGGAAACGAGGUCGGCUUGGCACUCUGUCAAAAUUCUCUCACUCGCUCACCCCGGCCAAGCCUCUGCGUAGGAUACUACAGCACACGCACAGUGUGGGCUCUGCUCUACUGCACCAUUUAAAAAGAAUGGGGGCGUGCAGUGCACACAUUCUCCCAAAAUGAACCUAUAUUCGGCAUGCAAUGGGACGGAAAUAGCGUGCAAAAGAUGUCUCCAGCGUAAUUUGUAUGCAUUUGUGUCGUCUUUUUUUAUGAUUAUCAUGUAUUUUAUUCUUGUUUAGAGCAAUCCUCCACUCCUCAACAUCUAAACAGGACAUGACACUCACUCGUUUGGAAUUCAUCAAGAAAUAAACCUGAUGUUUACACCAGCACGCUACAUGUGAGUGACAUUAAAGCAGUCGUGUUCACCUUGAAAGCAUUCUGCAGCAUUCCCUCUCCCGCCUCCUGGUACAAAAAAAAAAAUCACUUUAUAAUCCCCUCUGAGUCCUCCGUGGUAUUUUAAAAAGACACUAGCCCUUACACGACAUAAGCUGCUUAAUAUGAAUAUAGCGCUUAUUCCUUGCCGUUUGUGUGUUUGCAGCCCGAUACGUGUGCCGUGCACGCAGCUAUUUAUAGGGGCUAACCGGGCUAAUAAAUUAGGUUUGGAAAAAAAAAAUGGCGUGCAUCAGAGGGGAUAGUGGCAAACCGACAGAUUAGCCCCCCCGUGGCUGCUUACGUGUGGAUUAUACAGCACAGCGAGACAGUCAGCUGCUAUGAGGGAGGAAAAGGGAGGUCAAAAGGAGAAGGAAACGGGGAAGAUGCAAAACGAAAGUGAUUUGUGUGUCUGCUCGCAUGUUAACACACCACUUCCUGAUGGAAUAAGAUGAUGGGACUGCACCAUUUACGAUUCUGGGAGGGGUGGAAUGAUCCUUGGUCCAUGGCAUGGUGUAAAUAAUGGAACUGUGCCACUUUUCAUUUUGGGGUAAAGAUGAACCGACAAAAGUGGAAAAAAAAGAAUGAAACACCAUUUGUUAAUUGUUAGUCUGGUUCAUGCAGGACUCCGUAAAAUGACAAGACCGUACCACUUUUUGACUGUGGGGCAGUGGAGAUGGUUUCAUUGCAACUCAAACACGGUAGCAAAAAGAGACUAACAAAAGUGUAGAAAUCCUGGAACUGCUGUGUCUUUGGUGCUGGUCGCUAGUUAACACCUACUUCCUGGUUCAUGGAGAAUUAUUUUGAGUUAUGGGACUGUACCAUUUUUUAUUUUUGGGUAUGACAGUCAGUUAUUGUGCAAAUUGCAAAAAGAAAAUCAAACAAAAGUGACAAAAAUUGUGGCAUUGCUCUGCUGUGCGUGUCUGUUUGCUAGUUAGCUUGCACAGUAAGGUGGUCUCACCUUAGGUUUCUUCCCCGUGUUUGAUCAGGAAAUCUGCAAAUUAAAGUAAAAAUCUGCCAUUUUUACUUAAGAAAAUGUUAAAAGACGAUUGGAAUAUUCCAGAAAAUACAUUUAUAAUACAGUUCAGUGGACAAAUAUUAAUAUUUAUUUUGUUAUUAUUUGUUUUUUAUUUGUCAUCAUGACCUGACCGCACGUCAAUGAUUCCUCUCAUAUUUUUGAUCAGCCGUGCAUCAAAUUUGAAUUAGUUCUUCCUUGCUACAUGCGCCGCCACUCCAUACAGUUAGGUCGAAAAUGGAUGAGCGCUUUUUGUGCAAUGUUGCUAAGCAGCCAAGGAACGAACAGUAACUUGCGAGGUAAUAAAGUGCUCAUCCGGAAGUUGAAGGUGCCUUCCUAGAACAAUCUGGCCCGAGGAGCACAGCGGGAUGAUGUUACAGUAUGGGAACUGUACGCUGUGCUGCCUUUUUGUGAUGACUUCGCUGAAAGGGGCUGAUAAAACCUUUCAAGGCGUCCAUUAAUGUUUUAAUGUUGCGCUGGAAAGACGUGUGCAAGCUCGUCUCUUUGACAGCCUUUCUGAACGCUGAUUUCUUUUGUUUCCUUCCUGGCGAGGCUUGCCCUACGCCCUGACAAGCUAAUAACAGGCAGUCAUGGACACAUCACCAAUAGUCCAUAUUUAUACCUCCAAAUGGGGCUAUUUUCACAGCUGUACAUUUCAUCUGUUGCACAUGCUUUUAGUUCUUGGCAGCGUUGCAUCAAAGUGCCACUAAAACAACACAAGGAAGCGCUAAAGUGUACUUUUGCAAACCAUCGUGUAUUUAAAGGGGGGCCAUCUGUCGGAAAUACUUCCUGUUGCAGGAAGUAGCUUUUUCUACGUACAAGGGUGAUAAACUGAUAGAAACUAUUUGGAAAAGGGCAUGAACUUGUAAUUGGACUUUUCUUUUUUUUUUUUUAAGUAAAAUUAAAAUAAAACGUGUUUUUCCCCUUUUUGUUUGUGCAUUUUCUUUCUAUUUGUAUGCGUGUUACAUCUCAUUUACAUAUUCCUAUGUGAAACUAUCCCAGCCUUUAACAUAUGUGUCUUAAAAUGUUUGACAAAAUGUAAAUCUUCAUCGGGAAAAUGUGAUUUUUACACAUUUUGGCGGGGCAUUUAAUGCAUCUAAUUUAUCUGAAAAUAUCCUAAUCUUUAACAUAUGUAAUAAUAAUAAGAUAUAAUAAGAGUACAAUAAUGCCUUGUUUACAGUAUUUCAGAUAAGUGGUUCUAGACCGGUUUGUGACAUGUGAAGUAGGAUUCCUUAUUUAGAAACUGAAUAUUUUCAUAGUUACAGCAUAGACAACCUGUUUACAACCCUCUAAAUACGGGUUUUAAUAUUAUUAAAGCACUCUAGAUGUGAAAUAACACCCCUAUAGUCACCGUUACAAUCCUAUUACCCGAUAUAGUAGACAUAAUAAGAGAAAAUAAGCCAUUUAAAACAUAAAAAAAGACUUGUAUGCGCGUCUGUUGCUGUAAAUGCGGUCCCGAGGGGACCAGAGUGAGCAGCACACUGGAAAUGAUGUUGAGGGUUUAGAGUUGAGUUAAGAUUGGCGUGAUUCACGGCCGCAACAGUAGUCCGUGUUUUUACGAGGGAUUAUAUUCGGGAUUAUUGUGCCCGUUGUGAGAUAAUUCCUUGUUUGUAUCGCCAAACAUUACAAUAACGUUACUGACACCUCGUGACCAGUGUGGAAGACUACAUUUCAUCAACAUCUUUCAAUGUGUCUUCUGAAUGCCCUGCAUAGGUAUUUUAGUUCAUUUUGCCAUUUUUAUGCUGGACAAUGAUGUAUAUUUUUUGACGAGUAAGUGGCUGUACUCAACCACAAAACAGAACUACUAUUAAUUAAUAAACUGGAGUGAAACCAUGAAAUUCAAAGCGUAAAGUGGCGAGGCACAACUGUAUAUCUUAAAAUAUCUAACCAAAUCUACAUUUUGCGCAUCUUUCUGCAUUUUGGUUGUGCAUUUGCUUUCAAAAUGUUAUGUUUGCAACACAAUGUAAACCUUAGAAAGUAAAAUGUGUUUUUCCGCCUUUUGGUGAUGCAUUUGAUGUCAGUGUGCACUCACGUGCAGAUUUACAUGCAAUUUUACAUUUUUCUGUGUGGAAAAUAUCCAAAAAUUUUUAUUAUUUGUGUCUUAAAUUGUUAACAUUUGGAACAAAAUGUAUAUCAUAGCGGGUGAAAUGUGCUUUUCCGCAUCUUGUUGGGGCAUUUUCUUUCAGUGUGUAUGUAUGUACGUAUGUAUGUACGUAUGUAUGUAUGUACGUAUGUAUGUAUGUACGUAUGUAUGUACGUAUGUAUGUACGUAUGUAUGUAUGUACGUAUGUAUGUACGUAUGUAUGUACGUAUGUAUGUAUGUACGUAUGUACGUAUGUAUGUACGUAUGUAUGUAUGUAUGUACGUAUGUAUGUAUGUACUGUAUGUACGUAUGUAUGUAUGUAGGUAUGUACGUAUGUACUUAUGUAUGUACGUAUGUAUGUAUGUAUGUAUGUAUGUACGUAUGUAUGUAUGUAUGUAUGUAUGUAUAUAUGUAUGUGUGCAGAUUUGCAUUUAAUUUACAUUUUUCUGUGUGGAAAAUAUAAAAUAUAAAAAAUAUCUUAAAAUGUUAAAAUUUACAAUAAAAUGUAAAUCUUACGUAAGUAAAAUGCGUUUUCAGCAUUUGGGAUUUACUUGAUUUGCAUGUACUGGUAUGUGUGUAUGCAGAUGUAUAUCUACUUCAUAAUGUUGUGUGUGUGGAUAAAAUGUUUUUAUUAAUAAUGUAUUCCAUUUGUAUAAAUAUAGGCGUAUUGAUGAAAUACUUAUGAAAUUAUUAUGAGGAACUAUUACAUAAAAUUCAAACAAAAUGUUAAUUUUUCCGUAUUUUGGUGGGCCAUUCGGUGUCAAUAUGUUUAUUUCUAUUUUUCAGUGCGUAAGUAUCAUCAAAUGCAAAACAUGUAAGUCAUGUCAAGUCAAGUCAUGUCAUGUAAAUCAGUGCUGCAGCUAUCCUGCAUUUUUAAGUGUUUUAUUUGACAUGCAAUCUAAAAACGGCGGUACGAUUGCCCUUCAUUGACAUGAGUGAUGUGGAGGAUUAUAAAACUGUUGCAGCAAUAUGUUCACAAACUAGUUAAACAUGGUUGCGGUCGGAAAAAAGCCUCCUUUCAUGCCACCAGUAACAAGUCCAGUCAUUUGUCAUGGCCCAUGUCUCUUCAGGCCACAUCUGUCCGAGUGAAAAAUGUCAAAAUCAAGAGGAUUCAAUGCAGAACCUCCAAAGCGGCCGCUCGCGUUGUGCCGCUUCCCUGUAAUUUACCUUUCCCGUCUUGCAUUCCUGCCACAACACAUGAAAGCUUUGGCCACAGCUGUUCCAAAAUGGAGGGAAAUGAGUCCCAGAUGGCGCUGUGUUGCGUGUUGCCACAUCAGAGAGGACUUUUACUGUCCUGAGUCAUAUCUAGCCGGGGAGGGGGGACCGUUGGGAUGUGGAGAAGGGUGGGCGUGGUCUUCCCUACUGUAUGUCAGGACACACAUUGUGGGAAAUCACGCAGGCUGGCCUCGCCACGUGUGCUGCGUCAUGCGUGCUCAAUACAGCUAUUGAUCAGUCUGCUCCAGCCUGCUCGUAAAUGCAUCGUCAUACUCAUCAUGUGCUGUAGAUUCCACACUUGUGGACGUUCACUUGCGACAAAACAUGAUUUGACAGGGAGUCAUAUGUCAUAUUCACAAAUAUGCAUUCCAUGUCUGCCAUCAUGAAAGAAAAAAACACGUCACAGGUGACAAAGUGUCACGCAGUACGUGACAUGUUGGACCCUUGCUUUGGUUUUUCUGGUCUCAUUUCCUGAUCUGUGCUUUUAUUUUGUUAUUUCUGUUUCCGCAUGACCUUUUUGUUUGUUUUACUGUUUUUGCUUGUGCUCUACGUGUGCCCCGAUUGCAUCUGUGUUCUUUUUCACCACUAUUCCUUGAACUCUUGUUACCUGUGUGUUGCAUUCUGCUGCAUCUUCGUGUGCUGUUUUCUUGUUCCCCGGCAUCAUUCUCCUGCUCGGGCACAUUCCUGUUUCCACCUCCCAUGGUGAGUUUAUGUUAGCCCCAGCUGUGCGCUUUAACCCACUUUGUUAUUUUGCUACUGUUGCCUUUUUAUGUGCCGUUUUGCUGAUCUUUUGUCAAUAGAAUACUUUAUUGGACCUUCCUGUUACCGUGUCUCCACAUCAUGAGUAAUAGUUCAUCAAAUUAUAGCAGAACGUGACACAAAGCAUAUUAUUACCACGAACCCUAUGAGUCACAUCUGUUUAUUUACUUGUAUAAUUGCAUUCUUUUAUUGAUUUAUUGCAUUGUAUUUUGACUCCAACAUUGAUUGUGCUUUUAUAUUCUGGCCUCGUGUGGGGGAAUCUUUGAGUACCGUAAUUUCCGGCCUAUAAGCCGCACCCACGAAAUCUAGAGGAAAAAACUGAUUUGUUCUUAUAUAAGCCACACCGGGUGUGUAAGCCGCACAUAUCCACGUCGUAAAGUGCCGCGCACGAGUCCGUGAGGACCAGUCAGCUCUUUAUUUGACAGGAGUCAUCAUGAAUAAACUCAGGACGAGCUUGUCAACACAUUGGAAAUUGCAGGAAGUCAUUACUCGAUAUAACAGUCUGACUCACGGUGUCACCUUACAAACAAACUUCAAUUUAUCACACAGCAGCUACACUCAAACGUUGUACCUCAGAAAUGAACAUGUGAAAUGUAAAAUGAGAUAUUUAGUGCGCAGAAAGACAUUACACAGAAAGAUUUUUUAAACUUUCCAUACAACAGAACACAUCGUCACUGAGGUGAAACUAACCUGUCUCACGACGUUCUGAUCCCACCUCACGUUCCCCAUCAGUGGGUGAACAAUCCAACGCUUGAUGAAUCCGUGUCAGACUUGAACAGCGACCUAAUUUUGUUAAAACGUUGGCUCUCUCUCUUUCGGUGAGCUGAGUCCUUCAGUCAACCAUCCAUCCAUGUUCCAUUCCGCUUAUCCUCAAAUGCGUUGCCUUAAGUUGAAAGCGGCAUCAUGUCCGUUUCUUUGUGGGUUUUGUAUGACGGAAGCCUGUAUUCAAGCGAACAUUCGAUGCGAACAACGCGCCUACAUUCCGGUACAGUACGUGGCGGUAUGCACCUUUUAAACGUUGGUUGCGACAUGCACAUGGCAAUAUAUUGAGACCGGCAAAAUGAUCGGGUUCGUUGUCAUUUAUUGUGCGAUGAAUUCAUUUAUUUGUUAUCAUCCCAGGCCUAGUGACCCCAAUACAGUUUUGUUGACUUUUUAAUCUUGUGAGAUCUUGUGACAUGAGAUCUUGUGACAUCUCUACUGUUUCGUUUUCAAACUUUUACUCCUGAUAAUUCAUAUUUUUGUAAAAUUACUGCAAUUUUGUAAGGGUCACUAAAUAGCCAGGUGGAUCCAUUAUUUGGGUUUUUUUAACCGUAUGUCCACACGUAACGAUACUACUUUAACAAUACUUCUACUUUCACUACUGAAGUACCGUGACAAAACGUGUCGGCAAUACAAACACAGCUUGAUUGUUCAGCUUGAUGGCAGCACGACCGUCCCGACCGCCAAUCCUUGUUUUCCCAUCAGGAAAAGUAACUUUAUACGACGGUCACACGCGGUGAUGUCAUGCCCGAGAGGAAGCUCAUUUGCAUGUUGCUCAAGGCUGACGCUGUCUUUUAAAGUAAAGAUCCUGUUUGGCGUUUUUUUUUCCUUUCUUUUUUUAUGCUUCAGUCUUCAUUUUGCUUGCCAAAAUGUCCCCACAAAGACAAAUGUCCACACAAUAAAAGGUGGGAUGUCAAGGGUUGAGGCGCAUAAACAGAAAGACAAGCGCACACACAGUGGAGUUUAAAGAAAGAGACGUCUGUGCUGUGCAGACAAAAGCUCCUCUCUCUCUGCAGAAUGGUAAGGAGCUGAGCUUCCGCUUGGAGCUCACUGUGUCAGAGGGGAGAGGAAGGGCAGACGAUGGGUCCAGAAUACGAUAGCAGUGUGUGUGUGUGUGUGUGUGUGUGUGUGUGUGUGUGUGUAGUCUCAUACAAUAAAUAGUGCGUAUUUGGAUAGCAUUGAAUAUACUCGCCUUAAAUAUUUCAAAUUGUGUCUUUCUGCAUUUCUGCAGGGCUUUACCUUCGUGGGUGUGUGCAUACUAACAUUUUAUGCAUUAUUGUGUCUUCAAGUGAAAUUUUGGUGGUAAAUUGAUGUGUAUGUCAUCUCUUUUUCAAAUGUUCUGUGUUUAAUGUCAAUAUAUACAAUGUAAAUAAAUUCAAACAAAACUGAAAUGCUGUGCCAUAAAUGUUAAUCGGGUAAGUCAAAUGUGUUUUCUCACAUUUCCUGUAUGUAAAUACCCUAAGAGUAUUCCAUCUCCUUAACAUUUGUCAUCUUAAGUGCCCCGUUUUAGUCAUAUAUGCUUGUUAAAAUGUCAACAUUUGAAACAAAACUGAAAUAGUGGCAUAAAAAAUGUAAAUCCGAAAUGUGUUGGUUGGGCAGGAAGGACACAGCAUUUAACACGUAUGCGUGUGUGUGCAGAUUUACAAGUAAUUCACAUUUUUCACCGUGAAAAUACACAAAAUCUUUCAUGUUAAAUG